GUCCCUUUCAAGUCUAUAUGAAUAUAUCAUGUGAGUGUAGUAUCUGCUCUUAUCAGUUUAAUAUCUGAUACGUUCUCUAUCCGAGAACGCCAUAUUAAGCACAUUUUUAGAACAGGGAGUCGGCACAGGGGCUUGCUCCGGCCGCUCCACAUUUUAUAGGCAGCCGUGGUCUAAAUAUGGUCU